rnacentral:rRNA from 1 species
CACGUAGGCACCAAGCGUUGUCUGGAAUUAUUGGGCGUAAAGAGCUCGUAGGCGGUGUGUCGCGUCGGCCGUGAAAACCUGGGGCUUAACUCUGGGCGUGCGGUCGAUACGGGCAUCACUGGAGUUCGGCAGGGGAGACUGGAAUUCCUGGUGUAGCGGUGAAAUGCGCAGAUAUCAGGAGGAACACCGGUGGCGAAGGCGGGUCUCUGGGCCGAUACUGACGCUGAGGAGCGAAAGCAUGGGUAGCGAACAGG